rnacentral:lncRNA from 10 species
AAAUUACAACAAAUGCCAUCACACUCUCAACAUCCCAGUGCAGAGUCAGCUUCAAGUGAGAGAAAGAUGCCAGUAUGGGGACAAGAUGUCUGGAACUGUAGCAGCUACUUUGUAACCAGGAGACAUCAGGAAUGAAGAUAACAAGUCAAUACAUCAAGGAUGGCAGAGCAGAAGAACAGAGGGCAUUUUUCAGCAGCAGAAACAGUACCAGUGAUUGCCUUGUCUGGCUGGCUUGUCAUUUGAGGAAAGACAACUAUUUGUUUAAGCAAUCAGCCCAGUUUUCUGUUACUGGCAACUAAAAGCAAUUCUAAAUGACAUUGAUAUGGAAGGGAGGCAGGGAAAUGCUGGGAGGAGAAGGGCGGGUCCCUGGCGAGGGUUCCACCCCCAGGCCUGUGCCCAGGGAAUGCACUCCUGCCUUCGCAUCCAAAUGUUGCAUUUCCCAAGACCACCCUGGCAUGCCAUCCUGUGUCUAUAAAAACCCCGAGACCCUAGCAGGCAGACACACAAGCGGCUGGACGUCCAGAGGACGUCCAGGGGAGCACACCGGCGGAAGGGCACACCAACAGACACAGGCAGCAGACACAGGCAGGUCGGCAGGCCUUCAACGGGCAGAACUAUGCAGAGUUUGGCCACGGCGGCUGGAGGAGAGCCUGAGCCACUGAGCGCCCAACUCCAGGGGAAAACCAUCUCCCUCUGGCUCCCCCAUCUGCUGAGAGCUACUCCCACUCAAUAAAACCUUGCACUCAUUCUCCAAGCCCAGUGUGAUCUGAUUCUUCUGGUACACCAAGGCAAGAAACCCUGGGAUACAGAAAGCCCUCCGUCCACGUGAUAAGGAAGGGGGUCUAAUUGAGCUGACUAACACAAGCCACCUAAUGGCCAGCUAAGCUAUAAGAACACCCUGUAACACACGCCCACUGGGGCUUCAGUAGGUGUAAACAUUCACCCCUAGACACUGCCAUGGGGUCAGAGCCCCACAGCCUGCCCGUCUGCAUGCUCCCCUAGAGGUUGGAGCAGCAGGGCACUGAAGAAGCGAAUCACUCCCCCGCUGCACGCCUUGCGAGGGGGACAAGGGAAGUUAUCCCCUUUCAAUAUGUUACUCCUAGCCUUAAUUUCUGGAACUUUAUUUUUCAAUACUUUAAAAUGCAG